GCCACCCAAUCACAGUGCUCUGUGUCAUUUUACAGUUCUUUGAAAUUUUCCCACGCUCUGUAAAAUGACAAAGAUCACUCAGAUUGGC